AUGGAACGCAUGGAGCUAUAACUUCAUUUAUAGACAGGAAAUCACUGGAGAGGUGGAGAUUCCUGUAAGGAGCAGCUGGAGGACUUCAUGUCCACCACAGCUAAACAACCCGGAUCUACUGCUGGGUGGAGGCAGUUCUGAGUAAAACCACUUAGAAUCACAGCGUUUCAACUGAUGGAGGUGACUAAACUAAUGGAGGUGGAUGUGACUAUGAACUGAUGCAGGUGGAUGUGACUAUGAACUGAUGCAGGUGGAUGUGACUAUGAACUGAUGCAGGUGGGUGAAGGUGGAUGUGACUAUAAACUGAUGCAGGUGGAUGUGACUGUAAACUGAUGCAGGUGGAUGUGACUGUAAACUGAUGGAGGUGGAUGUGACUAUGAACUGAUGCAGGUGGGUGAAGGUGGAUGUGACUAUAAACUGAUGCAGGUGGAUGUGACUGUAAACUGAUGCAGGUGGAUGUGACUAUGAACUGAUGGAGGUGGGUGAAGGUGGAUGUGACUAUAAACUGAUGCAGGUGGAUGUGACUGUAAACUGAUGCAGGUGGAUUUGACUAUGAACUGAUGUAGGUGGAUGUGACUAUGAACUGAUGGAGGUGGAUGUGACUAUGAACUGAUGGAGGUGGAUGUGACUAUGAACUGAUGGAGGCGGGUGGAGAUGGAUGGAGGUGGAAGGGUCUGCUUCC